rnacentral:rRNA from 1 species
UACAUACUGUGCGAACGUUAUUCGGAUUCACUGGGCUUAAAGGGUGCGUAGGCGGCUUGUUAAGUAGGGUGUGGAAGCCCCCAGCUCAACUGGGGAACUGCACUCUAUACUGGCGAGCUGGAGUGAGAUAGGGGUGUGUGGAACUUCCGGUGGAGCGGUGAAAUGUGUUGAUAUCGGAAGGAACGCCGGUGGCGAAAGCGACACACUGGGUCUCAACUGACGCUGAGGCACGAAAGCCAGGGGAGCGAACGGG